CCUACGGGAGGCUGCAGUAGGGAAUCUUCCACAAUGGGCGAAAGCCUGAUGGAGCAACGCCGCGUGGGUGAAGAAGGUCUUCGGAUCGUAAAACCCUGUUGUUAGAGAAGAAAGUCCGUGAGAGUAACUGUUCAUGUUUCGACGGUAUCUACACAGAAAGCCUCGGCUAACUACGUGCCAGCAGCCGCGGGAAUACGGAGGUGGCAAGCGUUGUCCGGAUUUAUUGGGCGUAAAGGGAACGCAGGCGGUCUUUUAAGUCUGAUGUGAAAGCCUUCGGCUUAAACGGAGGAGUGCAUUGGAAACUGGGAGACUUGAGUGGAGAAGAGGAGAGUGGAACUCCCGGUGUAGCGGUGAAAUGCGUAGAU
rnacentral:rRNA from 1 species